GUUGUUCCAACAAGUCCGAUACAGUCAUGAUAUAACAAUAUUGUUACAACCUUGUGUCAUCAACAUUGUGUCAUCAACAUUGUAACAUUCUUGUUAUAUCAUGAUUGUAUCAGACGUGUUAGAAUAAU